rnacentral:sRNA from 1 species
UAGUCAAAUGUUGUUGGUAAUAUUAUUGA